CCAAGGAGUCUAGCGUGUGCGCAAGUCAUUGGGAUAACACUAAACCUAAAGGCGCAAUGAAAGUAAAAGUUCGUCUAGCGCGAACUGAGGGAAGAUGGUCGGUCCUGUUCGGACUGGCCCGCAUUCCCGGGGCGUCUCGUUCUCAUUGCGAGAAGAGGCGCACCAAGAGCGUACACGCUGGGACCCGAAAGAUGGUGAACUAUGCCUGGUCAGGACGAAGUCAGGGGAAACCCUGAUGGAGGUCCGUAGCGAUUCUGACGUGCAAAUCGAUCGUCGGAACUGGGUAUAGGGGCGAAAGACUAAUCGAACCAUC
rnacentral:rRNA from 1 species